rnacentral:rRNA from 1 species
GAUGAACGCUCGCUACAGGCUUAACACAUGCAAGUCGAGGGGAAACGACAUCGAAAGCUUGCUUUUGAUGGGCGUCGACCGGCGCACGGGUGAGUAACGCGUAUCCAACCUGCCCACCACUUGGGGAUAACCUUGCGAAAGUAAGACUAAUACCCAAUGAUAUCUCUAGAAGACAUCUGAAAGAGAUUAAAGAUUUAUCGGUGAUGGAUGGGGAUGCGUCUGAUUAGCUUGUUGGCGGGGUAACGGCCCACCAAGGCAACGAUCAGUAGGGGUUCUGAGAGGAAGGUCCCCCACAUUGGAACUGAGACACGGUCCAAACUCCUACGGGAGGCAGCAGUGAGGAAUAUUGGUCAAUGGACGAGAGUCUGAACCAGCCAAGUAGCGUGCAGGAAGACGGCCCUAUGGGUUGUAAACUGCUUUUAUAAGGGAAUAAAGUGAGUCUCGUGAGACUUUUUGCAUGCACCUUAUGAAUAAGGACCGGCUAAUUCCGUG